rnacentral:rRNA from 1 species
CUAACACAUGCAAGUCGAACGAGAAAGGGGCUUCGGCCCUGAGUAUAGUGGCGUACGGGUGAGUAACACGUGAAUCAUCUACCUUCGAGUGGGGAAUAGCUGAGGGAAACCUUAAUUAAUACCGCAUAAUACCCAAGGGUCAAAGCGAGUAAUCGCGCUUGAAGAGGAGUUCGCGGCAGAUUAGUUAGUUGGCGGGGUAAUGGCCCACCAAGACGAUGAUCUGUAUCCGGCCUGAGAGGGCGCACGGACACACUGGAACUGAAACACGGUCCAGACUCCUACGGGAGGCAGCAGUGGGGAAUUUUGCGCAAUGGGGGAAACCCUGACGCAGCAACGCCGCGUGGAGGAUGAAGUAUCUCGGUACGUAAACUCCUUUCGAUGGGGAAGAUAAUGACGGUACCCAUAGAAGAAGCCCCGGCUAACUUCGUGC